CGUAGCCGCGGUAAUACGUAGGGCGCAAGCGUUAUUCGGAAUUAUUGGGCGUAAAGAGCUCGUAGGCGGUUUGUCGCGUCUGCCGUGAAAGUCCGGGGCUCAACCCCGGAUCUGCGGUGGGUACGGGCAGACUAGAGUGAUGUAGGGGAGACUGGAAUUCCUGGUGUAGCGGUGAAAUGCGCAGAUAUCAGGAGGAACACCGAUGGCGAAGGCAGGUCUCUGGGCAUUAACUGACGCUGAGGAGCGAAAGCAUGGGGAGCGAACAGGAUUAGAUACCCCGGUAGUCCCUGUCUCUUAUACA
rnacentral:rRNA from 1 species